rnacentral:lncRNA from 1 species
GGCGUCGUGGGAGCGGGAGGACAGGCACCUGGAGGCUUCGUCACCACCGUCAGCGCCGAUCCCCCCGGCGCCGCUCCAGGAACCGUCGCCGGGGUCUUCGAUCCAGACGAGCACGACUGCGGGGGAGGAGAGGGCUGGCGCAGGUGGCCCGAAUCGUGUUCGUAAACGAGAUCCGAGGCUGGCGUGCGAGAAUUACCUCGCGGGUAGAAUCCCCUGUGCUUGUCCAGAGCUUGACCGCAAAGCGGAAGAGGAGGAGGAGCAGGCAGCGAGGGCUAUCGCCGGUGGAGGGAGAAAAAAGGUGAG